AGGACGAACGCUGGCGGCGUGCUUAACACAUGCAAGUCGAACGAGAAUCUGUGGAAAGAGGAUUCGUCCAAUUGAAGCAGAGGACAGUGGCGGACGGGUGAGUAACGCGUGAGGAACCUGCCUUUCAGAGGGGGACAACAGUUGGAAACGACUGCUAAUACCGCAUGACGCAUUGAGGUCGCAUGGCCUUAAUGUCAAAGAUUUAUCGCUGAAAGAUGGCCUCGCGUCUGAUUAGCUAGUUGGUGAGGUAACGGCUCACCAAGGCGACGAUCAGUAGCCGGACUGAGAGGUUGAACGGCCACAUUGGGACUGAGAUACGGCCCAGACUCCUACGGGAGGCAGCAGUGGGGAAUAUUGGGCAAUGGGCGCAAGCCUGACCCAGCAACGCCGCGUGAAGGAAGAAGGCUUUCGGGUUGUAAACUUCUUUUGUCAGGGACGAGUAGAAGACGGUACCUGACGAAUAAGCCACGGCUAACUACGUGCCAGCAGCCGCGGUAAUACGUAGGUGGCAAGCGUUGUCCGAAUUUACUGGGUGUAAAGGGCGUGUAGCCGGGAGGGCAAGUCAGAUGUGAAAUCCACGGGCUUAACUCGUGAACUGCAUUUGAAACUGUUCUUCUUGAGUAUCGGAGAGGCAAUCGGAAUUCCUAGUGUAGCGGUGAAAUGCGUAGAUAUUAGGAGGAACACCAGUGGCGAAGGCGGAUUGCUGGACGACAACUGACGGUGAGGCGCGAAAGCGUGGGGAGCAAACAGGAUUAGAUACCCUGGUAGUCCACGCUGUAAACGAUGAAUACUAGGUGUGCGGGGACUGACCCCCUGCGUGCCGCAGUUAACACAAUAAGUAUUCCACCUGGGGAGUACGAUCGCAAGGUUGAAACUCAAAUGAAUUGACGGAAGGG
rnacentral:rRNA from 1 species